rnacentral:rRNA from 27 species
GACUCUCGGCAACGGAUAUCUUGGCUCUUGCAUCGAUGAAGAACGUAGCGAAAUGCGAUACUUGGUGUGAAUUGCAGAAUCCCGUGAACCAUUGAGUCUUUGAACGCAAGUUGCGCCCUAGGCCCUAUGGUCGAGGGCACGCCUGCCUGGGCGUCA